rfam:Picea glauca, whole genome shotgun sequence.
AAAACGGUCCUUUUCAGGACCACCAAAAGCACACUCGUACGAUAAA